UACGGAGGGGGGCUAGCGUUGUCCGAAGUUACUGGGCGUAAAGCGCGCGUAGGCGGGUUGGUAAGUCCGCUGUGAAAGCCCGGAGCUCAACUCCGGAGGGUCGGUGGAUACUGCCAGUCUUGAAGGUGCUAGGGGGAGAUGGAAUUACCGGUGUAGCGGUGAAAUGCGUAGAUAUCGGUAGGAACACCAGUGGCGAAGGCGGUCUCCUGGGGCAUUCUUGACGCUGAGGCGCGAAAGCUGGGGGAGCGAACGGG
rnacentral:rRNA from 1 species